GUGUUUCGUUGCGUCACGCACGGACACGUCAUCCAGGAUGUGCAGCGCCGCACGGUGUAAACAGAGCCAAGUCUCGCAGCGGGCCCUCCGUCAUGGGGAGUGAGGGAAAGAUGCCGGGCGGCCCCACCGAUCUGGAGCGGGACUGGAUCCUACAGCUCCAGGAUACGGGUAACUACUCGGCGCGAUAUCCACAGCGGGCACCGGGGAUAUGUAUCAAUAGCCGAGACCUGCGAUAAUAACCGCACAGUCAUCCCGAGCCCAGACUGGGUCCACACCGGGGCUGUGUUAUAUACCGGGGGGUCUAUAUGGCUGUGUUAUAUACCGGGGGUCCAUAUGGCUGUUAUAUACCGGGGAGGGGGUGUCCAUAUGGCUGUGUUAUAUACCGGGGGUCUAUAUGGCUGUGUUAUAUAUCAUAUGUUUAUAUACGGGGGAGGAGGGAGGGUGUCCAUAUACUGUGUUAUAGUACCGGGGGAGGGUCUAUAUGGCUGUAUAUACGGGGGUCCGCCAUGCUGUGUUAUAUACCGGGGGUGGUGUCCAUAUGGCUGUUAUAUACCGGUGUCCAUAUGGCUGUAUUUAUAUACCAGGGGGGGGGUGUCCAUAUGGCUGUGUUAUAUACCAGGGGGGGUGUCUAUAUGGAUGUGUUCUAUUCCGAGGGGGGGGGGAUUGUCCAUAUGGAUGUGUUAUAGACGGUCAUCCAAAGCAGGAAUAGCCGUGUCAGAAAAAAACAGCCGGUAGGACAGUAGGAUACCGACCAUUAUUAACAAAAAAUGGACUAUGCCCAGAGGAGUCAUAGUCAGCAUUGUUUCUAGCAAACUCAGCCCAUGGUAGUAAUUCGGACCAAUUGUCUUGAGUGCUAUUAACGAAACAAUGCAAGUAUAAUUCCAAGGACUGGUUAGCCCUCUCAGCUGUACCAUUGGUCUGGGGGUGGUAAGAGAAUGAAAAAGGCAAUUCAAUCCCUAAUUGUUUAUUGAAGGCCCUCCAAAACCGAGACACAAACUGAGAACCUCUGUCAGAUACUAUAUUGUGAGGAAUGCCAUGCAGACGGACAAUUUCUCGUAUAAAAGAUUAGUACCAGGUCUUGAGAUGACGGCAAUUUGUUGAGAGGAAUAAAAUGAGCCAUUUUAGAAAAAAGGUCUACAUGAGAAUGGUGGUAUAACUGUUAGAACUAGGAAGUUCAGCAAUGAAGUCCAUGGACAAGUGGGACCAUGGGAGCUCAGGAAUAGGAAAAGGUUGUAACAAGUCACAAGGGAGUUUGAGGCACUCUGGAAACCGCACAAACAGAACAAGCCUGCACAUAUUCCUUAACAUCCCUCCUGAGGGAAUUCCACCAGAAUGACCUCAUGAUAGCUGAAGUGGAUUUAUUAAUACCUGGGUGACCAGCAGACACAUGGUCGUGAAACACCUUCAUGAUAUUAACCCUCUCCCCCAAUGGAACAAACAGUUUGUCCUGAGGUUUACUGCAGGGCGCUUGAGACUGAGCUUCCAUGAUGGAGCCAACCAGUGGAGAGGACAAUGAAAGGACAGUGGACGCAAUGAUACAUUCCGUGGGAAUGAUAUGGGACUUUUCUUUCUCUAGUAUUGCCUCCGUAUCAAACUGCCUGGACAAGGCGUCGGCCUUAACAUUUUUAGAACCAGGUCUGUAAGUGAUAAGAAAAUUUAAAGCGAGAAAGAAAUAGAGACCACCUACCUCGCUUGUCUAGAAGAUAAUUGCUUAACAUAUCCUAUGUAAGCCAGAUUUUUGUGAUCAGUAAUGAUCAAAAGGGGGUCCUUGGAACCCUCUAAAAGAUGUCGCCACUCCUUGAGAGCUAGAAUAAUGGCCAACAAUUCUCUAUUGCCAAUAUCGUAAUUGCGCUCAGCAGGAGACAACUUUCUAGAAAACCACAAGGAUGUAACAGAGUUUCCUGGCUCUCCCUCUGGGAGAGAACUACCCUUGUCUCUGAAGCAUCAACCUCCAGUAUGAAAGGCUUACUGGUGUCAGGAUGUAUCAAUAUGUUGGUGGAGGCAAACCGCUGUUUGAGAGUUUGAAAGGCUUCAAUAGCCUCCUUAGACCAUAUCGUACUACUAGCCCCCUUGCGUGUCAUAUUGGAGAUGGGGGCUAUUACUGAAGAAAAUCCCUUUUAUAAAUCUUCUGUAAUAAUUGGCAAAACCAAUGAACCUUUGAAUGGCUUUCAAACCAGUUGGUAAAGGCCACUGUAGAACAGACUCUAGUUUUUUAGGAUCCAUCUGAAACCCCGAGGUUUCAUACCCUAAAAACUGUACUUCAGACUGGUCAAAGAUAAAUUUUUCCAAUUAACAAUAAAGUUGUUUUUUUAACAAGGUUUGCAGAACUUGUUUAAUGUGAUCGUGGUGAGACUGGAGGUCAGGAGAAUAUAUAAGGAUAUCAUCCAGAUAGACCAAGACAAACAAGUAAAUAUAAUCCCUGAGUACAUCGUUAAUGAAAUCUUGGAAAACCGCUGGAGCAUUGCACAACCUGAAUGGCAUCACUAGAUAUUCAUAGUGUCCACUUCUGGUAUUAAAUGCAGUCUUCCAGUCAUGGUUUUCCUUGAUUCUUACUAAAUUGUAAGCGCUUCUAAGGUCAAGCUUAGGAAACACUUUAGCGCCCUGGAGUCUGUUAAAUAAUUCAGCAGUAAGAGGAAUGGGGUAGGCGUUCUUAAUGGUGAUUUUGUUCAAUGCCCUGUAAUCGAUACAUGGGCGCAACUCACCAUCCUUUUUAGAUACAAAAAAGAAUCCUGCACCAGCAGGCGAGGAUGAUUUUCGUACAUGGCCUUUAUUCAUUGAAUCCUUAAUAUAUCCCUCCAUUACACUAUUCUCCUGAGGAGAUAGAGCAUAGACUGCUCCCUUAGGUGGCAUAGCACCGGGUAGUAAGUUAAUGGAACAGUCAUAUGAUCUAUGAGGAAGUAGAGUAUUAGACUGAGUCUUGCUGAAUACCUCUUUAAUGUCACUGUAUUGUAUAGGAAUCUCAGGAUUUUGAGGUGUACUAGUGGGUAAUUCUAUAGCUCCCACUCUUUUGGUGACAUGCAAUAUAUACCUUUCAUUACACUCCUUACCCCAUUCUAAUAUUUCCCCAUUAGCCCAGUCAAUGUGAGGGUUAUGCUUGCUAAGCCAUGGAAAGGACAAGAAGGAGAUGCAAUCACCUGAAAUAUAAUCUCUUCCUUAUGUAAGGCACCAAUGGAAAUAUUUAUGGGUAAGGUUUCAUGCGUUAUUAAUGGUUGUGAGAGUGGUCUCCCAUCAAUAGCUUCAACGGCUCCAUUAUACCUAAGACCUGUCUCCUUAAGGUGCGGUAGUUUCUUCAGACAAAUUGAACAAUUGUCUCUCAUAUGUCCAUUACUACCGCAGUAUAAACAUAAACCUUAAUUUCUCCUAUAUUGUUUCUCUGCCUCUGACAGUCUAGUGACCCCCAACUGCAUGGGUUCAGGUUCGGACUGUAUAGGAAGGUCAGGAACAACAGGUUCGAAGAGUUGGGGUGUUAAAGGCAUAGUCAUACGUCUGGUUUUAUUUCUAGUAUUCUCUCUGGUUCUUAGUCUAUUAUCAAUUUGCAUAACAAAUGUGAUGAACUCGUUAAGUUUUUUGGGUAGAUCUUUAGCAGCAAUCUCAUCUAGCAUAGUGUCAGUCCCUUUUUAAAUGCAGAGAUUAGCCCACUAGUAGUCCAGUCUACCUCGGAAGGCCAGGGUACGAAAUUCUAUGGCAUAAUCCGAGGUAGACUGGUUCCCUUGCCUGAUGUGCAUCAGAGCAGUGGAGGCAUCAUCCUCCCUGCCUAAAGGUUCAAACAUAAGUUAAAAUUCUGUAAGAAACUCUUGGUAAUUGUGUGCCACACUCCUAUUACUCUCUCAUAAUGGAUUGGCCCAAGCUAAAGCUUUACCUUUUAACUGAUUCAUCAGGUAACCAAUUUUAGCUCUGUCUGUUGGAAAAGAUCCUGGUGAGGCCUCAAAAUUUGCAUAAUUGCUGCUCAGCAUUAACCCUUCUGUGGAUUAGGUUGCUGCUCGGCACAACUUUUCCUGUGUGGACAGUAAAUGUCAUUAACCACAUUUUUAUAAGCGGAUGAAUACGUGACAGCCCUAUUUCUCCUGAAUAAAAUUAUAAAUAAGUAGUGUGGGUGCACUUAAAGGGACACUAUAGUCACAUGACCAACUUCAGCUUAAUGAGGUUGUUCAGAUGAGAACUAUAGCUCCCUGCAGCCUUUCUCAUGUAAACAAAGAAAAUACAGUGUUUACAUUGGAAGCUAGGAACACCUCCAGUUGCAGUCACUCAGACUGCCACCAGAGGGAUUUCCGAAUCAGUGAAUGCAUAAUUCGCAUUCAUCUUCACGUUUGACGUUUUCACGCUUGGGUGAAGACAUCAAACGUGCCAUCUGCAGACAGGAGAUAGGAGGCACUGUGAACGCGCCUCCUAUGUCCUGUAGUAACAUACUCACGUUUUUUCCCAUGCCUGGUCCCACCUUCAUGGCUGAGAUUAUCAAUCUUUAUGAUCUCAGCUAAGUCAAUGCUUUCCCUUAGUAAAGCAUUGGGAGGAUUUUGUGCAUGUGCAGAAAAUUUAUCAAUCCGCAUCUCCUCAUAGAGAUGCAUUAAAGAUACAUUUAAUUAAUCAAUCUCAAUGAAGAGCCAACACACACACACACACACACACACUUCACAUACAGGCAGCCCACACUGUAUACACACACACACCGUUCACAUACAGGCAGCCCACACUGUAUACAUCUCCUGGCUGAAGCAGCAUGGAGCUAGCCGCCUAAGGGAGCAGUAAUCAGAGUGAGUGAGUGUAUGUGUAUGAGCCUGUCAGCGUGUGUGUGUUUAGGUACCUGCCCCCUCUGAUUGCAUGAGGAAGGUGUUUUUACUCGCGUUUUUUCCCAUGCCGUGCCAGUUUUGCCACGGCUGGUCCCACCUUCAUGCCUGAGAUUAUCAAUAUUUAUGAUCUCAGCUAAGCCAAUGCUUUCCCUUAGGAAAGCAUUGGGAGGAUCUUCUGCAUGCGCAGCAAAUGUAACAAUCCGCAUCUCCUCAUAGAGAUGCAUUAAAUUAAUCAAUCUCUAUGAGGAACAUUCAACGCUUCCAUGCAGAGCUUGGAGACACUGAACGUGGGUGCUGAACACUCUUCAGCAGUAAACCAGGACACUCUCUAGUGGCUGUCGUGAUUGACUGUCACUAGAGGUGUUACUAAGCAGCAAUGUUUUCACUGAAAAGCCUGCAGUGACAGGCUAUAGACACCAGAACAACUACAUCAAGCUGUAGUGGUUCUGGUGACUAUAGUGUCCCUUUAAGAAUUGCAUUUUUCUCGUUUAAAAUGACUGGCUCCUAGAUUCCAAACAAAUUUGUCAAGCCCUGAUCUACACACCAAAGCUACUUCAUUAAGCUUAAAUUGUUUUAGUAACUAUAGUGUCCCUUUAAGCAUGUCUUCAGAGUGACUCUGUAUACACACAUACAGGUAGCCCACACUGUGUACACACACACACGUCACAUACAGGCUGUACACACACGUACACACACACUUCACAUACAGGCAGCCCACACUGUACACACACUUCACAUACAGGCAGUCCACACUGUAUACACACACACACUUCACACACAGGCAGCCCACACUGUAUACACACACACACACACACACACACACACACUUCACAUACAGACAGCCCACACUGUAUACACACACACACUUCACAUACAGGCAGCCCACUCUGUAUACACACACACACACACACUUCACAUACAGGCAGCCCACACUGUAUAUACACACACACACACACUUCACAUGCAGGCAGCCCACACUGUGUACACCCACUUCACAUACAGGCAGCCCACACUGUGUACACACACACACACCCUUCACAUGCAGGCAGCCCACACUGUGUACACACACACACUUCACAUACAGGCAGCCCACAUUGUAUACACACACACUUCACAUACAGACGGCCCACACUGUAUACACACACACACUUCACAUACAGGCAGCCCACACUGUAUACACACACACUUCACAUACAGGCAGCCCACACUGUAUACACAUACACACACUUCACAUACAGACGGCCCACACUGUAUACACACACACACUUCACAUACAGGUAGCCCACACUGUAUAUAUAUACACACACACACUUCACAUACAGGCAGCCCACACUGUAUAUAUACACACACACACUUCACAUACAGGCAGCCCACACUGUAUACACACACACACACACACUUCACAUACAGGCAGCCCACACUGCAUACACACACACUUCACAUACAGGCAGCCCACACUGUAUACACACACACUUCACAUACAGGCAGCCCACACUGUAUACACACACACUCCACAUACAGGCAACCCACACUGUAUACACACACUUCACAUACAGGCAGCCCACACUGUAUACAGACACACUUCACAUACAGGCAGCCCACACUGUACACACACACACUUCACAUACAUGCAGUCAAACACUGUGUACACACUCACUUCACAUACGGGCAGCCCACGUUGUGUGUAUACACACACACACUUCACAUACGGGCAGCCCACGUUGUGUGUAUACACACACACACUUCACAUACGGGCAGCCCACGUUGUGUGUAUACACACACACACUUCACAUGCAGGCAGCCCACACUGUGUACACCCACUUCACAUACAGGCAGCCCACAUUGUGUACACGCACACACACACACACACACACACCCUUCACAUGCAGGCAGCCCACACUGUGUACACACACACACUUCACAUACAGGCAGCCUGCACUGUGUACACACACACACACCAAGCACAGCCACCACACACUGUGACAGAAUGAGAGACUAUGGUGAGACACUCUGGGUAGUUGACCAAACUCAGAAUUUGUGCGCUAUAAAUCCAAACAGUGUAACUGAAGCAAAUGUAGGCAUGUUUGGACAUUGAACAGAGUUAGAGAAUUUUUUCUGAUCUGCUAUUUUUGCCUCUGUUUUUUUUCCGUUCAGUUUUAUUUUCUGAAACUUCCUGUGAGUUUACCAAUGCCUGAUAAGGGCCCCAAUCUUUAUAAUGAAAUUAUUUUAUGUCGGGACACCCCGGUCUACAUGUUUUCACUGUUAAAACUGAAAAGUGAAUUUAUAAAAUGUGAAAAUAGAAGGAAGCUAAAAUGCUCUCCUUUAUUCAAUUUAUUUAGAGCAGGCUUCCCCAAACUUAGGGCCUCCAGAUGUUGCAGAAUUACAACUCCCAUGAUUCUCAGCCUAUCUAUUUCAUUCAUAGAAUCAGAGUUGUAGUUCAGCAACAUCUGGGGGGCUGUAGUUUGGGGAAGCCUGAUUUUAGAGUAUGAGGACAAACAAAAAGUGGAAGAACCCAUUUCAGUCCCUCUGCUGAGCAUUGAAAGCUGGUGUUUUUUUUUUGUUUUUUUUUUAUAUAUAAUCUUUCUUCAUGUGUGAUAUUUAGCUUGUUUUUAAUUAUUUAAAUAAAAUUAAUUUAAUUGAGCUUUAGAACUGAAAAGGUUUGAGGAGAGGGGGGUAAAUCAAAUCAUGGAUUACUCCCAUGUAUAUUGUUUUUUUUUUUUUUGUUUUUUUUAUAAUUCUUUAUUUUUGUUGUGCAUGUUUUAACAACGAGCGUGUGUUGCCACAACAGCAGUUACACGCAAAAUCAUACAUUUUCAAACAUGGCAAAUAAUAUGACUGCACAUUUUUAUAUAGUAUAAAACAGAAGUGAUAUGCAUACGGCAUAGAAACAUGUUUGAUCUAUCUGUGCUAACAAUAGGGGGAGCAGGUAAUAGUUGCUUAACGGCUAGCACAUUGCAAAAUAUAAGAUAUGAAACAGUUAGAGAUUAGUCACACAUUGUAUUUAUAUGAUCUCUCGAACACAUUGUAGACAAGGUGGAGUCAGCAGCUAAUUCUUAGAUUGUAAAGGCAAACAGGACAUAUCUACAUGAAAUGAGAUUCCACUGGGUGGCCUGGCAGGUGAUCUGUUAUUGCUAAGGUGGGAUUCAUAAAGGCACAGGGUGCCAACGCAUACUAUUUAGCAUGAGGUCGUAGUGAGGGGGGGGGUGUGUACUACUGCUUUGGGCCCAAGCUGGGGGCUUAGUUAUGCAGGCCAGGAGUCCCUCAGCCUAUGCCAGUGACGGGCAUCGGUGGCAGAUACUUGCUGUGUCCAUAUAAAGCUCGCUGCCCAGUGGGGCCCCCUGGAUUAGUUCCAUCUGUGGUGUUUCCGUGUGAGGCGUCCUUCUGUACAGCCACGUGGUGCUCAGCCAUCUUCUCCGGGCGUAAAGUUGUGAGUAGGUGGUGUGGCUGCAGGGAUGUCUCGUUGAUCCAGCCGCUGUGUGCAUAGGUGCGAGUGCGUGGGUUCCGGCAGCCUGGUACUAUGGUCCGCCAUGACGGUUUUUGGCGCCUUCGUGGCCACUUAGAUGGCCUGUUGGCUUGGAGUGGGUAUCUGUAAUGGCGUCUGCGGGUCACAGGGCAGAUCCAUGAGGCGAUCGUUCUGGCUGCCUGGUUGCAGGACACUCCACGGUGGCGAAGUAGUGUCCAGAGGCCCUUGCAGAGCCUGUCGAAGCCCUCCAUGCAGCCAGCGGGUGGUGUGGCGUGUGCGCCCGCCAAUCUUGGCUUCUGCUGGGCAGCCAUUUUGUGUGUACCUUGGUGGUCCAGCGUUCCUGCCGGCGACGUAGCCAAGGGUCAGAUCAGCCUGCCUGGUCUGUCUGCCCAGUGGGGACCGGGAUAUCCCCCACCGGUCCAAAGGGGGGGGGUUUGGAAACCUGCUUGGUUGCUUGGGGUGUCCGGUGUCGGAGAGAGCGGCCGCCUCGCCCCGGCUUCUAUAGGCCGCGCUUGGUGUCCCACUUAUAUAGCUCCUACGAGCUCCAAAAAAGUCUCAUUUGGUUCAGGGGUGCACCCCCGACGUGGGUGAUGCACCCUGGCAGGUCUUUGGGCUAUUUAGCCCUCGUUUGUGCCGCUUUUCCUGCCCGUCGAGCAGGAGCUCGUGUCCCCUGCUUCUGCUCGGUUCAGCGGUCAGACUCCGCCCCCCCCCCCCAUGUAUAUUGUUUGAUGCAGACAUUAGUGUGUUCUUUGGCCAGCAGAAGCCAUCUUCAUAGUCUUUCACAUCAAUGCCAGAACUCAGGAGACCAUCAUUCUGUUGAUUAUUUUACCUUUAUUUCUUUGCCUGCAGCUGGCAAAUAGGAAACAUUAUGGGCUCAAUGUGCAUAUUCCUUUAAAGGGACACUAUAGUCACCAGAACAACCACAGCUUAUUGUAUUUGUUCCGGGGAGUAGAAUCAAUCCCUUCAGGCUUUUUGCAGUAAACACUGUUUCCUCCCACCCACCCCUCCCUCCUAGAGAAAAUGCAGUGCUCACAUUACAGCCUAGUGGUACCUCCACUGGCCACUCCUCAGAUGGCUGCUACAGGUGCUUCAUAGAGCAGUGCUGCACAGUGCUGGCUCUCUCCCUGGCCUGCCUCCUUGACAAUCUCAGCCAACCCUAUGGGGAAGGAUUGUGAUUGUCUCAGACCACCACUUCUGAUGAUGUCAGCCAAGCAGGCAGAUCAGGGGGCAGAGCCAGCAGCAGCAUACUAUAUUUUACUAUAUUUAGGGGGGACCUAGAUGGUGGUUUUAACACUAUAGGGUCAGGAAUACAUGUUUGUGUUCCUUGACCCUAUAGUGUUCCUUAAACUUUUAUAUUUUCGGUUGCUAGUCUUAUGUGCAAGAGUUGAGGAAGAGCAGAGAGUGUCAUCGGCUUCUUUAUGGUCUACCAGUGUUAUUACAGAACAUAAUGGAAAGUUUAGUCCUACAAUAGCUGGCUGCCAAGGUUGGACCUCUCUACUGUCAGACCAAUUCUUUUGCUUUAACGUAAUUUGAUAUCUAAUUUGCAUCUUUGUACGUGUGUAUUGUGAGUGCAGAGUAUUCAUGAUGUCUAUUUCUCGUCCUCCAGUGGGUGCUGUUUUCUCUAAUUAUGGCUGGUACAUCCUGUUGUGCUGUGUGGUUAUGAUGCUUCUAAAACACAAGCUGAGUGAGAAAUUCCGACAAGUCCUGGGAACUCCACGCACAUCUAGACCAGGUUUGGUAUUUUCUUUUAAAAUAAAGUGCCCAGUAAUAACACUGAAACAGACAUAUUAUACCCUGACACUAUAUUUUCACCCUUGUUCCUAGAUGAGGCUGUUAAGACAAUUUGUAUUGUACAUGUGUAGACGUGUUUAUUAGAGUACUGUUUCCCUCCCUCAUUUGUUCUGGCACCACACAUGUUCUCUGUUUUAUUCUGCAAAGGAGCAAAGCAAAUUAUUCUCUAUUUUGCCUUGCUCAUAGAAUAAUAGGACCAGAAGAAGUUUAAUGUUAUUUCAAAUACGCCCUUAACUCCAGAGUAUUAAGGAAAACUUUGCCUUAAAAGACUUCUUAUUUUUGUACUUAUUUCAUCAUUGAAUAAAUCUAGACUUUCAUCUUCAGCUGAGCAUGAGUCACCAUUGUACAUUUAUUGCUAACCUUUGGCAGUGCAGCUGCACGAUGUCCAGACAGCUGUUGUGGCUGGCUUAGUAUCAUGGGAAAAGUAGUUCCAAAGAUUAGCUGACACUACUUUAAAACAGUCUCCUUGUAUCUCCAUCUGUUGUCACCAAAGCUCUAGGCUGCUACCAUUAAACAUAUAGUGACAAACUAUGGCUCACUGAUGUUUGCAGACAUAUCCUAUUAUCAUUGGCUGAGGAUGAUAAGAAUGGUAGUUUUAAUAUUCAAUAUUAUGUAUCUUUUUCAAUUUUCUUAAAGAUCCUGAGGAGGUGGUAAGAAGACAGGAAGCAAUGGCUGCAGCGCGGUUGAGGAUGCAAGAAGAGCUCAAUGCACAGGCAGAGAUAUUUAAAGAAAGGCAAAAGCAGGUAAA